rnacentral:rRNA from 2 species
ACAAUGGACGAAAGUCUGAUGGAGCAACGCCGCGUGAGUGAAGAAGGGUUUCGGCUCGUAAAACUCUGUUGUUAAAGAAGAACAUAUCUGAGAGUAACUGUUCAGGUAUUGACGGUAUUUAACCAGAAAGCCACGGCUAACUACGUGCCAGCAGCCGCGGUAAUACGUAGGUGGCAAGCGUUGUCCGGAUUUAUUGGGCGUAAAGCGAGCGCAGGCGGUUUUUUAAGUCUGAUGUGAAAGCCUUCGGCUCAACCGAAGAAGUGCAUCGGAAACUGGGAAACUUGAGUGCAGAAGAGGACAGUGGAACUCCAUGUGUAGCGGUGAAAUGCGUAGAUAUAUGGAAGAACACCAGUGGCGAAGGCGGCUGUCUGGUCUGUAACUGACGCUGAGGCUCGAAAGUAUGGGUAGCAAACAGGAUUAGAUACCCUGGUAGUCCAUACCGUAAACGAUGAAUGCUAAGUGUUGGAGGGUUUCCGCCCUUCAGUGCUGCAGCUAACGCAUUAAGCAUUCCGCCUGGGGA